rnacentral:rRNA from 1 species
GUCUUUUUGUUAUUAUUUAAAGUCAAAUCUGCUCACUGAGGGGUUAAAGAGCCGCAGUAUACUGACUGUGCAAAGGUAGCAUAAUCAAUAGCUUUUUAAUUGAGAGCUUGUAUGAAAGAUUAGACGAAGUAUUUAUUUUCUUUACUUUAGUAAAUUGAAUUUUAAUUUUAAGUGAAAAUGCUUAAAUGAUAUUAAAAGACGAGAAGACCCUAUAGAUUUUUAUUAUUUAAACAAUUUUUAUAAGUUUAAUUGCAAAAAUAAUUUAAUUGGGGCGAUUUUGUAAUAUAAAAAACUUAAUUUUUUGUAACCAUUAAUUAUUGAAUUUUUUGAUCUAAAAUUUUUAAAAGAAAGACUAAAUUACCUUAGGGAUAACAGCGUAAUUUUAUUUAAGAGUUCGUAUCUAUAAUAAAGUUUGCGACCUCGAUGUUGAAUUAAGAUAAUGUAUUGGAGUAGAAAUUAAUAUAAUUAGUCUGUUCGACUAUUAAAUUCU